AUUGAACGCUGGCGGCAGGCCUAACACAUGCAAGUCGAGCGGAUGAAGGGAGCUUGCUCCUGGAUUCAGCGGCGGACGGGUGAGUAAUGCCUAGGAAUCUGCCUGGUAGUGGGGGAUAACGUCCGGAAACGGGCGCUAAUACCGCAUACGUCCUGAGGGAGAAAGUGGGGGAUCUUCGGACCUCACGCUAUCAGAUGAGCCUAGGUCGGAUUAGCUAGUUGGUGGGGUAAAGGCCUACCAAGGCGACGAUCCGUAACUGGUCUGAGAGGAUGAUCAGUCACACUGGAACUGAGACACGGUCAAGACUCCUACGGGAGGCAGCAGUGGGGAAUAUUGGACAAUGGGCGAAAGCCUGAUCCAGCCAUGCCGCGUGUGUGAAGAAGGUCUUCGGAUUGUAAAGCACUUUAAGUUGGGAGGAAGGGCAGUAAGUUAAUACCUUGCUGUUUUGACGUUACCAACAGAAUAAGCACCGGCUAACUUCGUG
rnacentral:rRNA from 1 species